UGUUGGGUAGCACUCAAAUCGUAACUUACCUAUUACGGACCUGACUCCUGUGUCCAAUUGGCUCAUUUUUGUAAUUAGGUGACUUCGCGGAGUUUGGGGUGGUUCAUAAGCAUUAGAAAGAAAAAGUAUGUGAGCCAGCCCAAUGACUUCACGUACCAUCUUCUAGCAUGUUUGGGGGUAAGUGGAUGUUGAUACCAUCGUUACAAGCACUUCGGAAAGUACUACUUGUAUUUUGUUCAAUUAUAAACAAGAAUUGUGUGGGUGACCUGUUUGACAAUUUAAGAGGUUGUAUG
rnacentral:lncRNA from 1 species